AGAGUUUGAUCAUGGCUCAGRNUGAACGCUGGCGGUAUGCUUAAUACAUGCAAGUCGUACGAGGGCUUUUAGCCCUAGUGGCGGACGGGUGAGUAACACGUGAGAAUCUGCCCUUAGGAGGAGGAUAACAGCUGGAAACGGUUGCUAAUACUUCAUAUGCCGAGAGGUGAAAGGAAUUUCUGCCUAAGGAGGAGCUCGCGUCUGAUUAGCUAGUUGGUAGGGUAAAGGCCUACCAAGGCGACGAUCAGUAGCUGGUUUGAGAGGAUGAUCAGCCACACUGGGACUGAGACACGGCCCAGACUCCUACGGGAGGCAGCAGUAGGGAAUUUUCCGCAAUGGGCGAAAGCCUGACGGAGCAAUACCGCGUGAGGGAUGACGGCCUGUGGGUUGUAAACCUCUUUUCUCAAGGAAGAAGUUCUGACGGUACUUGAGGAAUAAGCAUCGGCUAACUCUGUGCCAGCAGCCGCGGUAAUACAGAGGAUGCAAGCGUUAUCCGGAAUCACUGGGCAUAAAGCGUCUGUAGGUGGUUUGGUAAGUCUGCUGUUAAAGACUGGGGCUCAACCCCAGAAAAGCAGUGGAAACUGCCAGACUUGAGUGUGGUAGAGGUAAA
rnacentral:rRNA from 1 species